ACCGCACCCCACCGACGCCACACCGACCAAAACCAAAGCAACCCGUUUUGCUCCCCGACUCCCAUCUCUCGAUCUCUCACAAGGGGCAGAUGAUGGAAUUGGAGAAGCAGAGAUGGAGUUCACUAAGGAACUUGAGUUCCAGAGGAUGAAUAUGUUUAUGGAACUAUGGAAUCUCAACUUGAGCUUUGAGAAGGUGAAGAGGGCUAAGAAUUAUGCUCCUUGUUCAGUGAUAUUUUUCAGGGUAAAAUGAAGGCAGCAUCUUGGCCGCAGGAUGAAUCAAAGGCCAAGAAAAAGAUCUUGAUGAAUCUGUGACUUUGAAGACUAUUCAAGUAGACAUGGAAGUGCCAAUACAAGACAGGAUGUGGAAAGCUAUUUUGUAAAGCUGGAUGAUGCAGACAGAGCUUGGGUGUGGCACAAUGGACACAACAACAGUUGAUUCGGUUCCCUCCAUUGUUGGAGUUUGUUGAAGGAAGUUCCGGUGAAACAAAAAAUGAAGUUGGGUGCAGACUGUCCUCAUGUCAAAUUAUUGUAAUGGCUUUUUUGUUUGUCUACAUGUCGAAUUUGUGGACUGUCCACAGUUGAGCAAGUUCAGUUCCCUCCAUUGUUGGAAUAUGAAGUUGUAGUAUGUUCUUUAGGAAUAUCAAUGUAUGGCUUAAUGACGAUACUCAACUUUGUACCCUCCUUUUAGAUGAUAGUUGGGAUGUGAAUGGCCUGACAUGGGCAUAUGGAUGAUAUGUGAAUUUGGAUUGUUGAUGAGUAGGGCGAUGAAGGGCCUAAUGCGGGUUUAUUUGUGAAUUUGAUUGUGAAUGGUAACUUACGAUGAGAAACGCUC